CCCCCCGAGUGAGGAAUAAGCCUGCGAAAGCGGGUCUAAUACCGCAUGACGUCCCGGGACGUAUGUCCUUGGACCAAAGCCGUAAGGCGCUUGGGGAUGAGCCUGCGUCCUAUUAGCUAGUUGGUAGGGUAACGGCCUACCAAGGCGAUGAUGGGUAGCCGGCCUGAGAGGGUGAACGGCCACACUGGAACUGAGACACGGUCCAGACUCCUACGGGAGGCAGCAGUGAGGAAUUUUGCGCAAUGGGCGAAAGCCUGACGCAGCGACGCCGCGUGGAGGAAGACGGCCUUCGGGUUGUAAACUCCUGUCAGAGGUGAAGAAUGCCCGCAAGGGCUUGACGGUAACCUCAGAGGAAGCCCCGGCUAACUACGUGCCAGCAGCCGCGGUAAUACGUAGGGGGCGAGCGUUGCUCGGAAUUACUGGGCGUAAAGGGAGUGCAGGCGGCCGGUUAAGUCGAAGAUGAAAUCCCGAGGCUCAACUUCGGAA
rnacentral:rRNA from 1 species